rnacentral:rRNA from 1 species
CGUUGUAAUCCGGUCGGAGCGUUGCGUUCACGCGUGGGUGAAGCGGACAGGGUGAGGUUCCGGGUGGUGCCAGAAAGAACGAAGGGUUCUGCUUCUGGGUUUGGGUUUGCGUGUUUUGCCGGGCCUGAGCGGAGGAGGAGGAGGGGGAGUGUUGAGCGGUUGCGGUUUAGGCGGAGGCGGUGGCCGGUCGGUCUCUCGCUCGCUCGCUAAGCGGCGGCGGCAGUUCGGACGUCCCUCGCUCGGGGAGAGCGGAGGUUUGUCGGAGUGGGAGCGCCGGGGGCAGGGGAGUUUCAGGGGCGCAGAGGGCGCUCUUAGCGCGGGCGGGCGGAUCCCAAAGGCGGCGGCGGCCUCUCCUCCCCUCACCCUCCUCCCCUGCUCUACCGGCCUGCCGAGGAGCCCGUCGAGGAGCAGUACCCGCCGCGGCAGCAGCCGUCCCGGCACCAGGUCCGGAUGGCGGUCCGGUAGCAGUUACGUGUCUCUUGGCCUCGACGGGUCCUUCGACACUUACCAUAAGCUUCCCGAUCGUUCCGAUACUGGCUUGUUCUUCGGGCCGUUUAUAAUCCAUAGUCACUUUUCUGCUCAACCCUUCUCUAACAGUUCUUCAUACUAUGCUACAAACUCUUCUUACGGUUCUCGCCUUCGAAGAUAGAGGUCAGCUUUCAUGUGGCCCGGUUUCUUACAGACCUCAGGUAUAUGGUACUAUUCGGGCUGUAUUACUUGACUUGACUCUACCCGUCGCAAAGCAGAUUAGCUAGCUAAAACAGUCAGCUACAAGACAGACUCGAUACGACCCGACGACGUAGUCCAGUUUAAACCAACAUUGUCCUACAAACAAGACGAACUGAGCUUAUUAUAUAAGUUGUUUUCCUUGUGGCAAACUAAACGAAAAGGUUUCCGCUACGGACACAAGGGAACGUCUAAGUCUACAACUCUGGAAACACAACAACGCUAGUAGUCGUUACAAACUAACAACAUCGUCGAACACUAAACUUGGACUAUAGGGUACAACGAUCGUAAGUGGGAAUUAAAACUUCACGUUAAUACCCCCAUCUGUGGUUGAAAGAGGGAACUUUUCACGUUAAUACCCCCAUCUGUGGUUGAAAGAGGGAACUUUCAUGCGACCAACCUUUUACAUUAGAAACUACAACCAUACCAAGGUUUC